rnacentral:rRNA from 1 species
UACGUAGGGUGCAAGCGUUGUCCGGAUUUAUUGGGCGUAAAGAGCUCGUAGGCGGUUCGGCAAGUCAGAUGUAAAAACUCCAGGCUCAACUUGGAGAGGCCAUCUGAUACUGCCGUGACUAGAGUCCGGUAGAGGAGCACGGAAUUCCUGGUGUAGCGGUGAAAUGCGCAGAUAUCAGGAGGAACACCAGCGGCGAAGGCGGUGCUCUGGGCCGGAACUGACGCUGAGGAGCGAAAGCGUGGGGAGCGAACAGG